GGGUGGCUUGGCAGCCCUCAGGGGUGGGAAAUGUCUCCUCCCAAAAGCUCGAUUCCCGUUUCCCCUCUGAUAAGAUCGGCAAAGACUAGUUUUCCCCCUAAAUUUUUUUGAAGGCAUUUCCUAUUUUGAGUCUUUAUUGAUGGUUUCCCCUAGCCGAGGUCUUAGAGCGGACACCUCCCAAAACCAGGGCGGGAAGUCUUCCCCAUGCACACACUCUCAUAAAAAUACGUUAGGCGAUGCUUCAAAGCCUCCGUUACCUGUGAGAGGAGCAAGCCAGACCCCACCACCGGCCUCCUUUAUUAUAGCACAGCCCAUGUUCCAGGUUUGGCUGCUUUGGAGGGUCUUUGCUUUCUUCUCAAUCAUCUGCUGUGGUUAAAAUCCUAACUGGGAGUUCAAAUUCAUGCACAGUGGGUACAACAAGCCAGCGUGCCAGCCUGUUCUGGGGAGCAAGGAGGAGGGUUAGCUGACUUUGAUCCUCCAUAAGACUUUGAGGACAUGGUUCACCUGGUUCAGCCUCCCUGGGACUUUGAAGCAGAAAAAUCUCUUCCAGGCCUGGACCUCAUGCUCCUGAAUGGAUCUGUGCCUAUUUCUAAGGGCAGAGUAACAUUUACGAUGUAAAAUUACAGAGGCUAUUACUCCGCAGUGCCGCACACCGCGGUGAUUCAGUGUCAGGCUGGGAUCAAGGGAACAACUAGUGCCUGUUAGCUGGAUCCCUCCGCUUUCCCACCUCCACAUGGCUUUGCAGCAAAUCAAAGUGCAACAAAUGGCUUUGCAUCAUUUCUUUGAGGAGUCCUGGGCCUUGUACGUUAUCUCGAGGGCAGGGUAUAUGCUAUAAUAAAAGACGGCUUUAUUGCCAGCUGCAACAAAGCCAAGGAUUCAGACACGUAUCGCCUUGUGGGUUCAUUGUAAACUCCCUUUUACAGCCCUUCCAGUUUAUUGCUAAUAGAGAUUUACAGUGAGAAGAAGGGGCCGUGUGCUGUAAUUAAUACUGUUAUUAGCCCGGUGGGUUUGAUGCAACGAGCAGCGUGGCAGCAUUGCUGCCAACCUUGGCAUUUGCCCUUUGUAACCCUGCCCUGGAAAUGAGAUGGGGAUGGGCUGGUUUUGGCACGGCAGGGCUGACGUUACCGGCGCCUUGCUGGGAGGUGGCUGGGAGCCGUGGGAUCAAAGUCCUUCCCCAUUCAGAGGGAUCCACCGUGGGUUCAGCCAGCUCGGAGUGGGACAUCAUGAGACACCACAUCAGCUGCCCUUGCAAGGCUGAGGAAGAUCAUUUCUGC